AUUGAACGCUGGCGGCAGGCCUAACACAUGUAAGUCGAGCGAGCGGCGGACGGGUGAGUAAUGUCUGGGAAACUGCCUGAUGGAGGGGGAUAACUACUGGAAACGGUAGCUAAUACCGCAUACAAUAAGAUGUGCACAGAUGGGAUUAGCUAGUAGGUGUGGUAAUGGCUCACCUAGGAGACGAUCCAUCGCUUGUCUGAGAGGAUGACCAGCCACACGGGAACGGAGACACGGUCCGGACUCCUACGGGAGGCAGCAGUGGGGAAUAUUGCACAAUGGGCGCAAGCCUGAUGCAGCCAUGCCGCGUGUGUGAAGAAGGCCUUCGGGUUGUAAAGGACUUUUGUCAGGGAAGCGGUACCUGAAGAAUAAGCACCGGCUAACUACGUGCCAGCAGCCGCGGUAAUUC
rnacentral:rRNA from 1 species